AUUGAACGCUGGCGGCAGGCUUAACACAUGCAAGUCGAGCGGGGGAAGGUAGCUUGCUACCGGACCUAGCGGCGGACGGGUGAGUAAUGCUUAGGAAUCUGCCUAUUAGUGGGGGACAACAUCUCGAAAGGGAUGCUAAUACCGCAUACGUCCUACGGGAGAAAGCAGGGGAUCUUCGGACCUUGCGCUAAUAGAUGAGCCUAAGUCGGAUUAGCUAGUUGGUGGGGUAAAGGCCUACCAAGGCGACGAUCUGUAGCGGGUCUGAGAGGAUGAUCCGCCACACUGGGACUGAGACACGGCCCAGACUCCUACGGGAGGCAGCAGUGGGGAAUAUUGGACAAUGGGGGGAACCCUGAUCCAGCCAUGCCGCGUGUGUGAAGAAGGCCUUAUGGUUGUAAAGCACUUUAAGCGAGGAGGAGGCUACUUUAGUUAAUACCUAGAGAUAGUGGACGUUACUCGCAGAAUAAGCACCAGCUAACUCUGUGCCAGCAGCCGCGGUAAUACAGAGGGUGCGAGCGUUAAUCGGAUUUACUGGGCGUAAAGCGUGCGUAGGCGGCUUAUUAAGUCGGAUGUGAAAUCCCCGAGCUUAACUUGGGAAUUGCAUUCGAUACUGGUGAGCUAGAGUAUGGGAGAGGAUGGUAGAAUUCCAGGUGUAGCG
rnacentral:rRNA from 1 species